rnacentral:rRNA from 1 species
GACGUAGGGCGCGAGCGUUGUCCGGAUUUAUUGGGCGUAAAGAGCUCGUAGGCGGCUCAUUGCGUCAACCGUGAAAACCAGCAGCUCAACUGUUGGCUUGCGGUUGAUACGGGUGGGCUGGAGUUCGGUAGGGGAGACUGGAAUUCCUGGUGUAGCGGUGAAAUGCGCAGAUAUCAGGAGGAACACCGGUGGCGAAGGCGGGUCUCUGGGCCUGAUCUGACGCUGAGGCGCGAAAGCUAGGGGAGCGAACAGG